rnacentral:tRNA from 1 species
CAAAUUAGAGCUUGAAUAUAUAAAGUAUUUCAUUUACAUUGAUAUGAUAUUAAGAUAAUUAAUUAAUUUGG